GGGAGGCUGCUCUGACGGUAUCAGACGCAGACACGGCUUGAGUGAUCCAUGCUACUUGUUGCUUCUGUGGCUAGCUUGGAAAUUAGCAGACGAAACUUGAACAUCGAAGCUUCUGAUGCGACCGGGUUGGAAGCUGGAAAUCUCCGUGUAGCCUCGUGUAGCAUCGGUCAGGUUUUUUGUUGGUGCACUAUUUGAUCCAUAGUGCUACUGUGAAGACUGGAUUGCAUUUCCAGAACUGGAUGGCGAGCCCCAGCCCAAGGAUCGGACAAACCAAUAGAUAGUGACCCGACUGGUCACUAUAACUGAGACAUUGCAUGAACAAUUGAUGGACACUGUGACAAAAGACUAAAAAGGAAAAAAGACUACAGACUAGAUUAUUUAUUUCUAAUUGUUUAUUUUCCUUGUGUUGUUUUUGCUUUGGGUUUCAAAAGGGAAAAGCGCGCAGUUUGUUAAUUGUAUAUAUAUAUAUAUAUAUAUGUGUGUUGGUUUAAUGACAUUUCAUUCAGUAAAUUCUACUCUUUCUAUAAACUGUGCAUCUUCCUCUGUUGUUGCUCACACCUAGGCUCCCCCACGAAUCCAGAGUCUUCUGAUUAGGCCAACAUCCCUUUAUGUGUGUGGUAUUGGUAUUAGUUAUUGAAGUAAUUUACUCUACCAUAUUUCACAACUGUCAAGGGUACUUGAAGGUAACC